GAACUUUCCAGCUAGAGUUUGACCUAAGGAAGGAUUUCAAAACUUACCCCUGCAAUGCUUUAACAGCAUUCAAGUCAAAUGGAGGCUUUUCAUACAGUGAAAUCCACAGUAGCUCUCUGUGGUAUGUAGGGCUACUAGCCAGAUAUACCUGAAAGCAAGCGCUUGCCUUGCUCUCCCUCUGCCACAGAACGAUGACACAGGGAUAACAAAGGGAAAUACCAGGGAAUGUCAAGUCAAACAAAUCGUAGAUCUUCUCUGGCGGCUUCUUUGACCUUGUUCUGAGUGAACACCGUGUACAUCAAGGAAGAUAAUUACAACUUUUUCAAGUCUUCUAAAAUCGAACUCCCUGUGGUGGCGACCAGUAUCUUCAAACUCAUACCAGAGUAAAGCCUUAUCCAUUUGGAGUUCUUUCUGAUGCAUUAUGUGAGAAAAACAAGCAAACAAAUGAACACUUAUUUGUAUUUGAAUUGCACUAAAUUUAUACAUGAAACUGAAAAAAACUGAUAUCUUUAUGAAGCUGCAUAAUCCUAUCCAAGGACAGACGUCUCCUUCCAUUUGUUUUGGAUACAUCUGGAAUUGACUUUUUUGCAUGGUGUAAGAAAUAACAGUUCUUCCUGGAUCAGCCCUCUCCCGUCUGUCAUCUCCAACAGAUACAAAGCCAGCUUUAAGAAGACCAAACCUACAAAAAUCAUUCAUGCUUUCUGCCUCCAUGUUUUUCUUUCCAACCUAGUUCCUCCAGAAAAUGUAAAAGAGCAACCGAACCGUCAACUGGUACAAUGACUUCUACACAUCAGACCUCGGCCACGCCACAGUCAUCAGAUUAUUCUAUCACAGGGUCUCUCAACCGUGGAAUAUGGUCUCCAAGGGAAACAAGCCACAGAGGGCUCAGGAGCAUUGCUAUAAAGAGUAGGCAAAUGGAAAUCUUUCCCCAAAGGGCACACUGGGAUUGUUAGGCGAGGGCUGCUCAAUCCAUUAAAAGUUUAAACUCGAAAAAAAAAAAGAAAAAAAAAACCUUUUGAAAAAAUACAGAAAGCAACCUGUUCUAGAUUUUGUGUAUAAAAGAGAGUUUAUUCAGGGGACUGAAAUGUUGACAGUGAAUCAACUGGGAGGAUAUUUUCAAUCAGAACCGUCUGACUGACAGCUUUCAUAUUAUUAAUGCACAUACUAGGAGACAUCAAAUUUGAAGGGCAGGCAUUGUGCUAAGUCAGACUUCUACCUUAAAAUGCAUUACAUUUUGUCUGUAAAUCAAGGUCAGUUAUUAAAUUAAGGUGCUCUCAUCCCUAAAUACUUUAUUCCAUCAUCGUGUGUAAUUAAUCACAAACCCCUUACUUGGGGUUCUUUAGAAAGUGAUGAGCAAAACCCAUAAAAAAUUAAGAGAAAAAAUAACAGGUAUCUUUUAAAAAACAGGGAAUAAGUGCAAGGAAAUUUAAGUAUAAGUAAAAAAAUUUGCACGAUUCUUUAAAUAGAUAAUAGAUAUAAUAAUAAUAAUUUUGCAGCCCUACAAUUCCACAGCAUAUUAAUCUUUUCAAAUCUGUUAUUUUUCACCAUUAAAACAAUCAUGUAAAACAGGUGGAGUACUUCAAUAUUCCAAUUUCACAGAUGCAUACACUGAGUCAAGGAAAAGUUAAGUAUCUAUUAAGUCAUCCAGCUUACUGGAUAUGGAACUGAGACUUGAAAGCAUAUCUUCUAAAUCCGACCUCUUCUCUAAAGAUAGUGUCACCUUUCUCCAAAGAUAGUGUCAGGACAUAGAAAGCAGAAGUUAAACUGUAUGCGCUAUUCUGCCUUCCAUACUUAUUUUUCCCAAGAAGUAAUUUAAAAAACACAUUGGAGAUAAUGCUUGUGAAGCACUUUGCUAAAUGCUAAAUUGUCCGAACACUUUGGAAAAAAGUGGCAGUUUCUUAAAAAAUUAACAAAGAAUUACCAUAUGACCCAGCAAUUCCACUCCUAGCCAUGUACUGAGGAGAACUGAAAAUAUAUGUCCAUGUAAAAACUUAGAGUUAAAUAUUUGUAGCAGCUUUAUUUAAAAUAGCCAAAAAGUGGAAACAACCCCCCAAAAAUGUGCCUCAGUGAUGGAUGUAUAAAUAAAACAUGUUGUAUACAUAACAAUGAAAUAUUAUUUAGCCACAAAAAGAAAUGAAGUUUCUUUUUAUAUUAGUUGGCCAUAAAAAGAAAUAAAGAGUUUUUUGUUUUGUUUUGUUUUGUUUUUUUGUAGCAUGUACUGACCUGGAAAACCUCAUGCUAAGUGAAAGAAGGCAGUUACAAAGGACCACAUAUUUUUGAUACCAUUUAUAUAACAUGUCUAGAACAGGCAAAUCUAGAGAGAUGGAAAGUAGGUUAGUGGUUGGCUAGUACUAGAGUAAGCAAGCAGGGAUUGGAGGGUAUUGGCUAAGGAAUACAGGGUUUCUUUCUGUGGUGCUUUUCUUAAAAAGUUCUAAAAUUGAUUGUUGUGUUGUUUGCACAAUGCUGUGAAUAUCCUAAAAGCUACUGAAUGAUACACUUUAAAUGGGUGAAUUAUAUGGUAGGUAGAUUAUGUCUCAAUAAAACUGUUAAAAAACACAAAA
rnacentral:lncRNA from 1 species